rnacentral:rRNA from 1 species
UACGUAGGGUGCAAGCGUUAAUCGGAAUUACUGGGCGUAAAGCGUGCGCUGGCGGUUUUGUAAGACCGGUGUGAAAUCCCCGGGCUUAACCUGGGAACUGCAUUGGUGACUGCAAGGCUUGAGUGUGUCAGAGGGAGGUGGAAUUCCGCGUGUAGCAGUGAAAUGCGUAGAUAUGCGGAGGAACACCGAUGGCGAAGGCAGCCUCCUGGGAUAACACUGACGCUCAUGCACGAAAGCGUGGGGAGCAAACAGG